rnacentral:rRNA from 1 species
UACAUGUGGGGCAAGCGUUGUUCGGAAUUACUGGGCAUAAAGGGUGCGUAGGCGGCUUGUUAAGUCAGGGGUGAAAGUUUUCGGCCCAACCGGAAAAUUGCCUUUGAUACUGGCGAGCUUGAGUGCGUGAGGGGUAACCGGAACGAGUGGUGUAGCGGUGAAAUGCGUAGAUAUCAGGAGGAACACCGGUGGCGAAGGCGGUUCUCUGGGCAUUACCUGACGCUGAGGAGCGAAAGCGUGGGGAGCAAACAGG